GAUGAACGCUAGCUACAGGCUUAACACAUGCAAGUCGAGGGGCAGCGGUAUCGAAAGCUUGCUUUCGGUAGCCGGCGACCGGCGCACGGGUGAGUAACGCGUAUCGAACCUGCCUCAUACUCGGGAAUAGCCUUGCGAAAGUAAGAUUAAUGCCCGGUGUUUUCAGAGUCCCGCAUGAGGCUUUGAACAAAGAUUUAUCGGUAUGAGAUGGCGAUGCGUCCCAUUAGCUUGUUGGCGGGGUAACGGCCCACCAAGGCAUCGAUGGGUAGGGGUUCUGAGAGGAAGGUCCCCCACAUUGGAACUGAGACACGGUCCAAACUCCUACGGGAGGCAGCAGUGAGGAAUAUUGGUCAAUGGGCGGAAGCCCGAACCAGCCAAGUAGCGUGCAGGAAGACGGCCCUCCGGGUUGUAAACUGCUUUUAGUUGGGAAUAAAACGGGGCUCGUGAGCCCCCUUGCAUGUACCAUCAGAAAAAGGACCGGCUAAUUCCGUG
rnacentral:rRNA from 1 species